rnacentral:rRNA from 1 species
GACGAACGCUGGCGGCGUGCUUAACACAUGCAAGUCGUACGGUAAGGCCCUUUCGGGGGUACACGAGUGGCGAACGGGUGAGUAACACGUGAGUAACCUGCCCACAACUUUGGGAUAACGCUAGGAAACUGGUGCUAAUACUGGAUAUGUGCUCCUGCUGCAUGGUGGGGGUUGGAAAGCUCCGGCGGUUGUGGAUGGACUCGCGGCCUAUCAGCUUGUUGGUGGGGUAGUGGCCUACCAAGGCGGCGACGGGUAGCCGGCCUGAGAGGGUGACCGGCCACAUUGGGACUGAGAUACGGCCCAGACUCCUACGGGAGGCAGCGGUGGGGAAUAUUGCACAAUGGGCGCAAGCCUGAUGCAGCAACGCCGCGUGCGGGAUGACGGCCUUCGGGUUGUAAACCGCUUUCAGCAGGGACCAAGCUUUUUGUGACGGUACCUGCAGAAGAAGCACCGGCUAACUACGUG